rnacentral:rRNA from 1 species
GACGAACGCUGGCGGCGUGCCUAAUACAUGCAAGUUGAGCGCUGAAGGUUGGUACUUGUACCAACUGGAUGAGCAGCGAACGGGUGAGUAACGCGUGGGGAAUCUGCCUUUGAGCGGGGGACAACAUUUGGAAACGAAUGCUAAUACCGCAUAAAAACUUUAAACACAAGUUUUAAGUUUGAAAGAUGCAAUUGCAUCACUCAAAGAUGAUCCCGCGUUGUAUUAGCUAGUUGGUGAGGUAAAGGCUCACCAAGGCGAUGAUACAUAGCCGACCUGAGAGGGUGAUCGGCCACAUUGGGACUGCGACACGGCCCAAACUCCUACGGGAGGCAGCAGUAGGGAAUCUUCGGCAAUGGACGAAAGUCUGACCGAGCAACGCCGCGUGAGUGAAGAAGGUUUUCGGAUCGUAAAACUCUGUUGGUAGAGAAGAACGUUGGUGAGAGUGGAAAGCUCAUCAAGUGACGGUAACUACCUAGAAAGGGACGGCUAACUACGUG